rnacentral:rRNA from 1 species
AUUGAACGCUGGCGGCAGGCUUAACACAUGCAAGUCGAGCGGGGGUAGGUAGCUUGCUACCGGACCUAGCGGCGGACGGGUGAGUAAUGCUUAGGAAUCUGCCGAUUAGUGGGGGACAACAUCUCGAAAGGGAUGCUAAUAACGCAUACGUCAUACGGGAGAAAGCAGGGGAUCUUCGGACCUAGCUCCAAGAGAUGAGCCUGGGCGGAUUAGCUAGUUGGUGGGGUAAAGGCCGACCAAGGCGACGAUCUGGAGCGGGUCUGAGAGGAUGAGCAGCCGCCAUGGGACUGAGACACGGCCCAGACUCCUACGGGAGGCAGCAGUGGGGAAUAUUGGACAAUGGGGGGAACCCUGAUCCAGCCAUGCCGCGUGUGUGAAGAAGGCCUUAUGGUUGUAAAGCACUUUAAGCGAGGAGGAGGCUCUUUUGGUUAAUACCCAAGAUGAGUGGACGUUACUCGCAGAAUAAGCACCGGCUAACUCUGUGCCAGCCGCCGCAGUAA